AAGUCGUAACAAGGUUUCCGUAGGUGAACCUGCGGAAGGAUCAUUAACACGUAUCCACGUAAUAUAUAACAACAUAUCAACAUUUACCACGAACCGUGCUCCCUGUUGACCCAAUCUCUUUAGCUGUCCGGUUUCCGACUAUAGUGGCUCCCCGUUCUGUCACAGGUUCGGUGUGGGAUGUCUGGUUGGACUAUCACUCCUCUGAGAGUGAGGCUAAGUAAACGGGACUCAAUAGGCUUACUAACUCUAACUGCCCGUGGAGCAAUCCAAUCCCAACCAUUUUGGGCGGCAGGAAGGACCCCAUAACCCAUUUCACCCUAUUUUACCCUAUUUGGCUAAUACUAACACGAUCUAAUAUGGAUCGGAUUAAGAUUUAUCUUAACUAAGCACAACUCUUAGCAAUGGAUAUCUUGGUUCUC
rnacentral:misc_RNA from 1 species